CCUACGGGAGACAGCAGUGGGGAAUAGUGGACAAUGGGGGGAACCCUGAUCCAGCGACGCCGCGUGAGUGAAGAAGGAUUUCGGUAUGUAAAGCUCUAUCAGCAGGGAAGAAAAUGACGGUACCUGACUAAGAAGCCCCGGCGAACUACGUGCCAGCAGCCGCGGUAAUACGUAGGGGGCAAGCGUUAUCCGGAUUUACUGGGUGUAAAGGGAGCGUAGACGGUGCAGCAAGUCUGAUGUGAAAGGUCGGGGCCCAACCCCGGGACUGCAUGGGAAACUGUUGAACUGGAGUACAGGAGAGGUAAGCGGACUUCCUAGUGUAGCGGUGCAAUGCGUAGAUAUUAGGAGGAACCCCAGUGGCGACGGCGGCUUACUGGACUGUAACUGACGUUGAGGCUC
rnacentral:rRNA from 1 species